rnacentral:tRNA from 1 species
ACCUGACUAGCUCAAUCAGAAGAGCAUGCAACUCUUGAUUUCUAGGUUGUGGGUUCAAGUCCCACCUUGGGUG